rnacentral:lncRNA from 1 species
AUGUAACUCAUGGACUAGGUCUUGAGUACUAGUGUCUGUAUUUUCAUGAGAGUAGACAAAAGAAGAAGGCAAAUCAUUCUUGGUGGCUGUUUUUCAUAAGGUCAGAUAAUGAAAUACAAGUGCAAAGAAAAAACAGUGUGAUAGUAUCAAUUGCAUAUGUGAGCGAAGGUCAACCAACUGAAAGGAAGCAGCUUUCACAACUGGCUGGAGGAAGUUUCCUGACGUGGUGGCAAGAACAACUCCAACUGUGAUCAUUUCUGAAAAGCAACCUGUUUGCUACAGAUAGAAGAUUUCGUUUGUAAAAUAAACUUAUCUGGGGGAAGGGAGGAAGGAGCAGAAUUGCAGAAUUAAUAGGACAUAGCAUAUCAGUAAGAUUUCAGAGGCUGCUGUAAAUACCUAGAGUAGGAAGAAGUGAUACAUUCAUUUCGUCAGGGAGGGGAUGGGUAAAAUUUUCUACUGUUUUUCUGGCAUUAAUUGCAACUCCCUUCUGCUGCUCCGUGCAGCUCUCCCUGGCAUGGCCCUGGGCCCUCUAGCGGACCUGUGCUGCUUGCAGCAAUUUCUCUGCCAAAACGCCGCUUCUGUUGCUAUGUUGUUUGUUAGGGCUACACUACUGUAUGUGAAAAUCGACACAGACAAUGUUGCUGAGUUGUAAGUCUGAGAUUCAUAUAUUUUAAGCAGCAUUUAUUUCUUGCACAAAGUACGUAACCUCGGCUAUAGGUCAGGUUAUGCGGUGGUCCUGGCAGAGGCCUUGUUCUAAAUAAUAUGCUAUGCUGAACAGUAUCAGACCAUGCCUACAGAAUCAGUUACUUAUCAGUGGUAUUUGAACAUCUACACUUCAAAAUAUCAGUGAUUUACUUUUUCCAGUGAUUCUACUUGUUUUCUUUUUCACGUGUUCUAUUGUCUAAAAUAAAGCCUCUUUCAAAAUGUAAGCACAAUAGAAAAUGAUAAAGAAUAAAUGCAAUAUAUUG